rnacentral:misc_RNA from 1 species
AAGUUAAGUCCAGCAGCAACCUGCAAUAAGUUUUAGGUGUUUUAGUAUUAAAGGAAAGAAAAGGUGAAAUAAAGAAAUUGCAAGUCCUGUCAAGCACUAUUACUGCCUUGCAAUGGGAGGAAGGCAUAACACUCCCCUCCCAAGUUCAAAAUAAGAGCCUUGGCCCCUUCUUUUAUUCAAAGUUUCAGAAACAGUCAAGACAUGUUACUGGAGAUAUGGCUACCCACCAUAAAUGCCUCAAAAAGUUCAUAUCACAUAUCUCAAAACUUAAAAUUGCACCUGCAAUUGCAAGCCAAUGACUUUUAACAUCACACUGAACAAUAGUCCCUAAGAAAACUAUUUGAUGGCAAGCCUAGUGUCUCGUCCAACAAGCUCAGAAACCAUGUUUAAAAAAUGCUUGUUACCUCACAAAUGGCAAGGUUUUGGAUAAACCAAAAAUAAAAAAUAAUCGGAGAG